rnacentral:tRNA from 1 species
CAUUAGGAAGCUAAACAAACGCAGCAUUAGCCUUUUAAGCUAAAGAUUGGUGGUUAGCCCCACCCCUAGUGA